rnacentral:rRNA from 1 species
ACAUGCAAGUCGAGGGGCAGCGGGAUUGAAGCUUGCUUCAAUUGCCGGCGACCGGCGCACGGGUGAGUAACGCGUAUCCAACCUUCCGUACACUCAGGGAUAGCCUUUCGAAAGAAAGAUUAAUACCUGAUAGUAUCUUAAGCACACAUGUAAUUAAGAUUAAAGAUUUAUCGGUGUACGAUGGGGAUGCGUUCCAUUAGGUAGUAGGCGGGGUAACGGCCCACCUAGCCAACGAUGGAUAGGGGUUCUGAGAGGAAGGUCCCCCACAUUGGAACUGAGACACGGUCCAAACUCCUACGGGAGGCAGCAGUGAGGAAUAUUGGUCAAUGGACGAGAGUCUGAACCAGCCAAGUAGCGUGAAGGAUGAAGGUCCUACGGAUUGUAAACUUCUUUUAUAAGGGAAUAAGCCCUCCCACGUGUGGGAGCUUGUAUGUACCUUAUGAAUAAGCAUCGGCUAACUCCGUGCCAGCAGCCGCGGUAAUACGGAGGAUGCGAGCGUUAUCCGGGUUUAUUGGGUUUAAAGGGAGCGCAGACGGGUCGUUAAGUCAGCUGUGAAAGUUUGGGGCUCAACCUUAAAAUUGCAGUUGAUACUGGCGUCCUUGAGUGCGGUUGAGGUGUGCGGAAUUCGUGGUGUAGCGGUGAAAUGCUUAGAUAUCACGAAGAACUCCGAUUGCGAAGGCAGCACACUAAUCCGUAACUGACGUUCAUGCUCGAAAGUGUGGGUAUCAAACAGGAUUAGAUACCCUGGUAGUCCACGCGGUAAACGAUGGAUACUCGCUGUUGGCGAUAUACUGUCAGCGGCUUAG